rnacentral:rRNA from 1 species
GGAACUAGCAUAUCAAUAAGCGGAGGAAAAGAAACCAACAGGGAUUGCCCUAGUAACGGCGAGUGAAGCGGCAACAGCUCAAAUUUGAAAUCUGGCCUUCGGGUCCGAGUUGUAAUUUGUAGAGGAUGCUUUUGGUGCAGUGCCUUCCGAGUUCCUUGGAACAGGACGCCUUAGAGGGUGAGAGCCCCGUACGGUUGGACACUAAGCCUCUGUAAAGCUCCUUCGACGAGUCGAGUAGUUUGGGAAUGCUGCUCUAAAUGGGAGGUAAAUUUCUUCUAAAGCUAAAUACCGGCCAGAGACCGAUAGCGCACAAGUAGAGUGAUCGAAAGAUGAAAAGUACUUUGAAAAGAGGGUUAAAUAGCACGUGAAAUUGUUGAAAGGGAAGCGUUUAUGACCAGACCUUUGCCGGGCGGAUCAUCCGGUGUUCUUCACCGGUGCACUUCGCCCGGCUUAGGCCAGCAUCGAUUUCUGGAGGGGGACAAAGACCAUGGGAACGUAGCUCCUCUCGGGGAGUGUUAUAGCCCUAGGUGUAAUACCCUUCCGGGGAUCGAGGUUCGCGCUUCUGCAAGGAUGCUGGCGUAAUGGUCAUCAACGACCCGUCUUGAAACACGGACCAAGGAGUCGAACAUUUAUGCGAGUGUUUGGGUGUUAAACCCUCACGCGUAAUGAAAGUGAACGGAGGUGAGAGCCCUCUUUUGGGUGCAUCAUCGACCGAUCCUGAUGUAUUCGGAAGGAUUUGAGUAAGAGCAUAACUGUUCGGACCCGAAAGAUGGUGAACUAUGCGUGGAUAGGGUGAAGCCAGAGGAAACUCUGGUGGAGGCUCGCAGCGGUUCUGACGUGCAAAUCGAUCGUCAAAUCUGCGCAUGGGGGCGAAAGACUUAUCGAACCAUCU